rnacentral:lncRNA from 1 species
GCUGCGGGGCAGCGCGACGCCCGUUCCUGUGGCCGCCCCAUCCCCAGCUGCGCCCCAGAUCCCCGCUCCUUUUCUCCACGGGGUUUCGUUCCGCCCUUCCACAACUGUUUCUGAUUACACAGCACUUCUGCGCGCGAACCCUUCCCGGUCCGGAUCGACGCCGUCGGUGUUUCUCGUUCCUCCGCCGCUCUCCCGUCGUCCCCGUGCGCCCCGGCUGCGGGGGUGCCGAGCCGAAGGGAUGCAGCGGGGACAGGAUUGGUGCCGGGACCCCGACUGGAGCAGAGCGCAGACUCACGAGGACCAUGGAGCUGCACCACGUGAACGAGGUGCUGCUGGAGGUGCUGGCGUGCGUCAUCCUGGCCUACCACCUGUCCCAGGCCAACGUCUUCUUCUUCUACCUGCUGCUGCUCCUGCCCCUCAUCUUCCUCUUCGAGGAGCCCAUCGGGAUGUGAGGAUGGCUGCAGUCCCACUCACUGAGCAAUAAAGACCCGUGCCCGUCUGUGCUGCGUGCUGUGGCUGUGGGGUGGGGAAGGGGAAGGGCCGUCCCUGAGGCACAUCGUGUGUCCCUGCAAACCCACCCUGGGACAUGGAUGGGGAUGGGGACAGGAGUGGGGUCCUGACCACAGGUGGGGACAAG